AGCGGCGGACGGGUGAGUAACGCGUGGGCAACCUGCCUUUCACAGAGGGAUAGCCAAAGGAAACUUUGAUUAAAACCUCAUAAAGCCGGAAUAGUGCAUAAUAUACCGGCCAAAGAUUUAUCGGUGAAAGAUGGGCCCGCGUCUGAUUAGCUAGUUGGUGGGGUAACGGCUCACCAAGGCAACGAUCAGUAGCCGACCUGAGAGGGUGAUCGGCCACAUUGGAACUGAGACACGGUCCAAACUCAAACGGGAGGCAGCAGUGGGGAAUAUUGCACAAUGGGCGCAAGCCUGAUGCAGCAACGCCGCGUGAACGAAGAAGGCCUUCGGGUCGUAAAGUUCUGUCCAUAGGGAAGAAAAAAUGACCGGUACCUAUGGAGGAAGCCCCGGCUAAAUACGUGCCAGCAGCCGCGGUAAUACGUAUGGGGCAAGCGUUAUCCGGAAUUAUUGGGCGUAAAGAGUGCGUAGGUGGUGGCUUAAGCGCAGGGUUUAAGGCAAUGGCUUAACUAUUGUUCGCCUUGCGAACUGGGUCACUUGAGUACAGGAGAGGAAAGCGGAAUUCCUAGUGUAGCGGUGAAAUGCAUAGAUAUUAGGAGGAACACCGGUGGCGAAGGCGGCUUUCUGGACUGCAACUGACACUGAGGCACGAAAGCGUGGGUAGCAAACAGGAUUAGAUACCCUGGUAGUCCACGCCGUAAACGAUGAGCACUAGGUGUCGGCCACUAAAGGUCGGUGCCGCAGUUAACGCAUUAAGUGCUCCGCCUGGGGAGUACGCACGCAAGUGUAAAACUCAAAGGAAUUGACGGGGACCCGCACAAGCAGCGGAGCAUGUGGUUUAAUUCGAAGCAACGCGAAGAACCUUACCAGAGCUUGACAUCCCUCUGACAGAUCCUUAAUCGGAUUCUUCUUCGGACAGAGGAGACAGGUGGUGCAUGGUUGUCGUCAGCUCGUGUCGUGAGAUGUUGGGUUAAGUCCCGCAACGAGCGCAACCCUUAUCAUUAGUUGCCAUCAUUAAGUUGGGCACUCUAGUGAGACUGCCGGGGACAACUCGGAGGAAGGUGGGGAUGACGUCAAAUCAUCAUGCCCCUUAUGUUCUGGGCUACACACGUGCUACAAUGGUCGGUACAGAAAGCAGCGAAACCGUGAGGUGAAGCCAAUCUCCAAAACCGAUCUCAGUUCGGAUUGUAGGCUGCAACUCGCCUACAUGAAGUCGGAGUUGCUAGUAAUCGCAGAUCAGAAUGCUGCGGUGAAUGCGUUCCCGGGUCUUGUACACACCGCCCGUCACACCAUGGAAGUUGGGGGUGCCCGAAGU
rnacentral:rRNA from 1 species